CCAAAUCCUUAAAUCAAAACCCAUAAGCUCUCACCUCUCUCUACUUUCUCUCUCUAUUCACCCUUCAUUAAAGAAGCUUUGAAGUUUGAAGAAGAAGAGCAAAUCCUCCAAGGUUCUACUCAAAUUUCGUGGCUAUUCAUCUUUAAGGUAUGGGUUCUUUCAAUCUUGAGAUUCUUUUCCCCAAGAGGUCCCUCCAAAAGAUGAUUUCUAAGUCUCUCAAAAUUAGGAUUUUUCUCUACACAUAGGUCUUCUUUGAAAAAUGAAAUUACGAAUCAAUUACGAUGAAUUAUGGUCAAUUAAUGUUGUUUAAGUAUAUAUUCAUGGUUAAUUCUUGUUAUUCACUCAGUAUUCCCAUGGACCCACAUCUUCCCCCAAUUUUAUGAAAAUCUUGAAUUGAGAAGGUGAAUUGUGAAGAGAAUGAAUAUGUUGAUUAACUAUAUUGAUGUUAAUUAUGUAAUUGCUUCUUGAAUUUACCUUAAUUAUGCAUUGGCUAUGUGUUCUUUGGUAACUGAAGUAUUCAAUUAUGAAAUAUGAGUUACUUAGAUUGUAAUGUCUUUAUGUCUAAUGUGUGGGUGUGAUGCUGAUAAUGAGUAUUCCUCGUCCUUAACCCUAGACUAUUGAAUUGGUUAUGAAAUAUGCAAGUAUGUUAUGGUAUGAUUAUUAUAUGAUUGAAAGUAGUUUCUCAUGAUUAUAAUAAAGUGUUGAGUAAAAGGUUUACUCACUUAUAUGUGGUUUCUAAAGUGAAAGGAUAGUUCUCACUUAUGAGUACCUAUGAGCUAUUAUGGUAAUAUGUUCACAUAGGGGUCUAGAAGAGACUAAUGUGAUCUUGUAUGAUAAGUAUGAUGAUUAUUAAAGGAAAUAAAUGCUUAGCACCGAAAGGGCAUGUAAAUGAGAUGGAGGUCUCACGUUUAGUAACUCCGUCCUCUCACAUGGGUUUCUUCACGAGUAGCAAGUCCGGAUUCCCACAAUAUGUGUUGUCUCACGAGAUAAAAACCUCCACGUUAGUAAGUCAAGGUUUCUAGUAACAAUCUCCUUGACCCCUAACUAUGUGUCCACAUAGGACUCUAUCUUAGUGGAUCCACCUAGAUAACUAUGUACGAAUGGUUACUCCUUGGGCAAGUGUUAACCCUCUCUUUUCAAUGUAGGAGUAGAACACUAAAUUCCAUGUAGCUCACAUGGUCUAAUGUCGGUUAUUGCACUUAUUUCCCUAAUGUAAAAGUAAAUGAACAAUUUGAGUACAUGGACUCAUGUUAGGGCUUGUCUUGAAGGUUUCUACAUGGUGUAAGGGAAGGUAUGAGACUUCGCUUGCAAAUUGCACUUGUGGGAUUCUAAGGAAUGGCUAUAGUAGUGUUCUUCUUAUGAUUAUGAUUAUUUUGAUAAGCUAUGAGUAGUACUGGUGUAUUAAGAAUGUCAUGAUGAAAUAAGAGAAUAUGUUUUGUAUGUAUGAAGUGGUUUGCUUAAUGUGAUACUUAGAUUGGAUAGGGUUAUGUGGCUCUAUCUUUAGCAUUGCACAAGUAUUUCUUAGGUGGUUUACAUGUUAGGUUGCUAUUAUAUUAAAUUGACUUACUAUGUUUAUUAUAUCUGCAUUUUGAGUUAAGUUGAUAGAAAACAUGAUUUUGACUAAAAUGUCCUUUUUCUCAUGCAGUGAUGAUUUUUGUGCAUAGAAGCCAUACUUAGUACGUGUGAUGCACUUACUCAUAUUUAUCCCUUCUUUCCAAACAUUUUAGGUUGUGAUUGUUAAAGAGUUUGUGGUCAAUUGCUAGGAAGACUUGGAUCUUUUUUCAAGUCAUUGGUGAAUCCUCAUGUCCGGGGAUGUUGUCAUGUUCCACUCUAUGUAUGAGACUUUAUUUUUUCUUUUAUCAUUGAGACAAUUUAUGUAAGCCUAUAAUGGCGUAUUGUUAUUGUAUUGGCUAUGUCUAAACGUUUAUACUCUUGUACAUGAUUUAAU
rnacentral:lncRNA from 1 species